GACGAACGCUGGCGGCGCGCUUAACACAUGCAAGUCGAACGGAAAGGCCUGCUUUCCCUUGUGGAUUGCGGGUACUCGAGUGGCGAACGGGUGAGUAACACGUGAGUGAUCUGCCCCCAACUUGGGUAUAAGCCUGGGAAACUGGGUCUAAUUCCCGAUAGGACUGCAGGGUGGUGCCUGUGGUGGAAAACGAUUUUCUAGUGGUUGGGGAUGAGCUCGCGGCCUAUCAGCUUGUUGGUGGGGUAAUGGCCUACCAAGGCGGCGACGGGUAGCCGGCCUGGGAGGGUGGACGGCCACAUUGGGACUGGGAUACGGCCCAGACUCCUACGGGAGGCAGCAGUUGGGAAUAUUGGACAAUGGGCGGAAGCCUGAUGCAGCGACGGCGCGUGGGGGAUGACGGCCUUCGGGUUGUCAACUCCUUUCGACCGCGAGGAAGCCACCUGGUUGGAAGGGUGGUGACGGUAGUGGUAGAAGAAGCACCGGCUAACUACGUG
rnacentral:rRNA from 1 species